ensembl:lncRNA
GAGUGGAAAUUAUUUCAGGUUGUGGGAUCAUCAUCAGUGUAGCAGUCAGAUUAUUUUGCCGGCCGCACCAGGCGUGGAGCUGGAUGAAAUCUUUGUGAUCACGCUAAUUCAAAAGCUCCUGGAUCGGGGCGAGGAUAUUAUUUUUCCGUCCAAAGGGUCGAGUCAAACGGACUCCUUCAGCUCCGUUACACACACGCGCGCGCGGGUUUGAUGUUCAGGACAUAAAUCAAAGACUCAUCAUUCUAUUUGAUUUCAUCCAUCAACCGUGGGGAUAUUAUUAAGAGCUAUCAAAGUGCCCCAAUUGAAACCUUUUUGCUGCGCGAGCAGCGCGUAUACCCUCUUCCCCGCCAUCCGUUCAUCGUCGUGCUUGGGGAAUUGUAAAGAAAUUCAUUAAAGAAGAAGGGGGGAAAGAAUAUUAUUAACGACCAAGCGAGGCUGAUUAAACUUUAAUCGAGAGCCAGCGGUCUUUCUAGAACAGUGGCUUCAACAGGUCUUAAUCUCCAGCGGCUGACCAAACCAAUGCCUCGAUUGAAAUAACAAGUCUGGUAGAAACGGGAGUAAAGCUAUCGACCCCCUUCCAUUUUCUCUUCAGGAAUCAGAGCCCCUGAAUAUAUUUGGAAUCAAUAAGUUUCCACAUCUUUUAGUUUUGUGUGAUUCAACCCGGGUUAUUACAGCGUCGGAUCAUUAAGAUGAUCCCCAGUGUUGACGUUCUCAUCAGGACUCAUCAAUCUAUUAUUUAUCCCUCACGAGAAGGACAAAGAAGCACAGUGUGGAUUUACAUUUUUUGGAUCAAUCUCCUCCCCUUCCCGUCCUCCGCUACGAGCUCCUAUUUGCCCUCCUCUCCGAUGUCUCCUCACCCUCCUCCUCUCCUCCUGCAUCUCCUGUGCUUUUUCCUCCUCGAAUGCAUCUUCAACCUUUAUUCCGCUUUAUCCCCGAGCCUUUUUAGUUUUUCCUGCUUCCCACUAAAGUGCAACCGCACGAGGCAAUUCACGGUCGUAACAGAAAAUAAACUUCCAUCUCUAGUGGAAACAAAUUAGGAAAAGUUAGCCAACAAUAACGCUUGGUAAGGUUUAGGAGAAGCUAACAGUUAGAGGUUAUAAUAAUAAAUACAGAUGUUACAUGACAAUAGACAUCUUGUCUACACGGUGCAUUGUUGUUAACGUUAGCGUGGAUACGUAUUGAUCCCUACACUGAAAAAUAUCAGUACAUUUUACAGUGAAAUACAGUAAAUUCUAUAUAAAUGCAUUGUGUAACUCUCCCAGCAUGGAGCAUGAAGCAUAGAGCAUAGAAGAUAGAACAUAGAGCAGCAUAGAGCAUAGAUCAGCAUAGAACAUAGAGCAUAUAGAGCGACAUAACACAUAUAACAUAUAACAUAGGACAUAGAGCAGCAUAGAACAUAGAGCAUAUAGAGCAACAUAACACAUAUAACAUAGGACAUAGAGCAGCAUAGAACAUAGAUCAUAUAGAGCAACAUAACACAUAUAACAUAGGACAUAGAGCAGCAUAGAACAUAGAGCAUAUAGAGAAACACAACACAUAUAACAUAGACGUAGAGCAGCAUAGAACAUAGAGCAUAUAGAGCAACAUAACACAUAUAACAUAGGACAUAGAGCAGCAUAGAACAUAGAGCAUAGAACAUGGUCCAGAAGAAGCUGCACGGAGGAAAGUCAACGCGCUUUGUCCUCCUCCUUUGCCACGUGGAGCUCCUCCACCUGAUCGUCACCUCUCCUCACUCCUCAAUCUUUUUCUCCUCCCCAGCAGCACCAAGACGACACCGGCACACGGACGGAGAACCAACAGAAUUUUAAUUCAUUGAGGGAUUUAUAGGCUGCAAGGCUUGUACGGUAAUUCUGUUAACAAAAGGUAUCCUUAGAUGGAAUUAAAUAUUUAUCCGUUCUAUGAAUAACAAUUGGCGAGGGAACGGAGAGGCAGUGUUUACUUUUUCGGGCUUGGUGGGGAGGAGGACUGAUUCUGUUCUGCAUCCCGCCUCAGUGAGCUGAUUAAAGAACCGGGGGGGGGGGGGUGACUGGACGAUGAGGCAGGCGGUCGUUAUGCACGGUGAAGAACCCUGUUCCCGCUCUAAUCCUCGGCCCGGAAGGAAGCGGAUCUGCCCGGGACACAGCGGGGCCUCCGCUCCACGUUCAGGCUGCCGCUGCUCGUCGGUGGACCAGAGGCCUGUGGGGGGGCUGUCAGGGAGCUAUAGGGGGCCUGACCUCGCCGUGCUCCCUGUAAUGGCAUCUGUUUGAUCCGCGUGUGGACUCGAAGGGAGGCCUCUACAUUGUUGGCCUCGCCCCAUCACCCUCAGUCUGUAUGUACACCCGCAAAACGCAGUCCAUCACAAUGACACACAUCAAUUGUUUGCCAUGAUUUUGUACCCUCAAUAAUUGCCGCUGCUCACGUUAGUAGUAAAGGAACGUUAGAUAUCGUUGACCGACCGUAAUAAUGUGACCAGUGAGACUGCGUUGCAUGUUUUUAUGGUGGCGCUUUACUUUGGCAUCGCGAUCUUCCACCGACUCACGACAGCUGCAGAAAUGAUCUCAUGAACUCUGAAAGUUUUUGGCUUUGUGAAAAAAAAACCCAGGUGAAGCGACUUUCUGACCAAUUUUCCCGAUUUAGAUGCUUUCUUUAAUCAGCGACGGCCGCCGCGGCUCCCCGCUUCACUGAGUGCAGCUGGCAGAGGCUGCAAACACUGGUUAAGCAAAUUGGUAUUUAACUGGAAACUUGCUGGCCUCCGAGCGCUGCAUUAUUCAUCACCUAGACAAGAAAGUAGCGCUUCAUACAUCCCUUCUGCUGCAGCAGCCUGCAGAGCUGAGAGGGAGAGAAGGCGGACAGAUAUAUAGGGCAGAGAAAUAAAGCAACUCGGUCCACGAGGAGCGAAUCCCCGAACACGAGCCCCAGCCAUCCACACACACACACACACACACACCAAUUAUUGGUUUCUCCGUCAGUUGGUUUCUGACAGUUUGUUGCGUUCUGGAGAGACUUCUGGGGGAGAUGAGUUUGCUUUCUAAUCAAAGUGGCCCAGCGGCCCAAUUGUGAGCUUUUUUCAUCCAGCCUGCUUAGCAUUUUAUUUAUUUCCUUCCCCGCGUAUUGGUGUGUGUAUUAUGCUCAGAAUGCAGGAGUCCAGGAGAUCUUUGGAGCGUGGAGGAUUAAAACAAGCACCAAUCAGAGCGAGAAGAAAACAUGUUAGAAUGCUCGGAGAACCAGGAGGUUUGCACUUGAAAUCAAUGAUUUUUUUUAAAUAUACAUAUAUUUUACCACGGCAGCAACAUCCUCCUGACUUUAUCUGAUGAUUAUAUAUUAUGUUAUAACCGACCUGCAGCAUCAGUCAGUGAUGAUCAGAAAUACAUUGAGUCCUUAUUCGUAUUUCACAAUGUUUUUUUCAAAUGUUGCCGAGGUGGAGGAUCAUUAUUUGGCUUUAUUUAUAGUUAGUUAUAAGUUACAAGUCAAGCAGUUCCCUUCAUUGUGGACGAUGCAAUGAAAUCAGAUCUAUGAUUGAGGUUUAAGUUGAUUUUAAUACCUGGGCCUUCCAUGCAGCAGAAACCAGAACUCUCCUCUAUGCACGUCAAUACAUCUAAUUUCAUUAAAAUUGUACUGUAACUAAACGCUGAAGUUUAGCCGGUGUCCGUCCGAGAACCACGGCUUCAUGUUGUAGACGAUUCGGGCAUCCUGUCAGUUUUGAAAUCCAUUAUUGAUGAGACAAGAUUAUAGAGGAGCCCGUACCAGCGCUCCUCUUUGAACAUAUUUCUCUGAAUUAAGUGGAGAUUCGUAUUUAUGUCUUGUUUCUUCCAGUCGCUUUUCAAAAAUUGGAUUGGUUCUGGUGGGUUAAAACUCCAGUAGGCCUUUUUUAACAUAUAUAUAUAUAUAUAUAUAUAUAUAUUCCUCGGUGAACAGCAACACAUGAAUGCAUUUAAAAGACAGCU